AAUGCAUAUCACUCUCACUCUCCAUUUCUAUCUCUAUGUCUCAACCUCCAUCAACAUUACCUCCUCAACAUCAUGCACAUGGAUGAUGUGCAUCUCUCUCUCAUUGUUCAUUUUUGUUUGGCAAGAAUGGAGCCGGCCAAUUUGUGUUUGCAUUCAAAAUUCGGCCAGCACUAUCUCCCCUUUUCCUUCUUAUACAAGCCAUGCCUCCCACCUACCCCAAUCCAUAAAUGGGCAGCCUCCCAACCAACUCAAUCAAUGAGGAGGCUACCUCCCAACCAACUCAAUCAAUGAGGAGGCAGCCAACCCACCCCCUCUCCCUCUAUAUAAAGGGGCUUGGCAGCCCACUCCCUCCUCACUUGCUCUCAUUUCCCACUCUCCACUCCUCUCCACUCCUCUCCUUUGCCUCAUUUCUUUUCACUCCCUACUAUUUCCUCCACUCCCUCACACUCUCCUCCUCCACUUCCCCACGAAAAUGGUGCUCCCCUUGCUCCCAUGGCCGGCCAUAGCCAUGGCAAGCCACCAAGAUGAAGCUCUCCCCCUCCCUCAAGCUCAUCCUCACCAUGAGAGCCUCCCUCUCCUUCUUCUCCCUAACCUUAGAUGGUUUAAUCUCCUCUUCUUCUCCCUCCAUUGCUAAGAUUGGAUCUUGAUGCAGGUGCAUGUUGGUCCAAGCAUGGAGAAGGUUGAGCUAUCCUCAGAUCUGAAGUUCUUGAGCAAAAUCCAAAUCUAGUGGUUCAAAGUUUUGCAGAUAGGUAUUGAAAAUAUCUACAACUUGGAGUUGGUCUCAUCCUCAAAUUCGUUACGGAUUUUGCAUGAUCAAGAUCUGGUCAGAUCUGACUUUGUCGAAUUAAACCAUGAGCUUGGAGACGAAUUUUUGAAUGAAACCAACUGGGGGUACUUAGCUUGUGCCAUGGUGAUACCGAGAGAGGCAAUUGCUAAGUUGUGAUACUCUCAUACCUUUACUAGAUGCGAACAAUUCCGGAGAAGAAGAACAAGUGGAAUCGGAUGAGAAGAUUUUAUUUAUAUUGUUGGGAUUGUUAUAUUGAUGGAGUUGAAGAAGUACAGGGACAAAUAAGCCAAG